AACAAGAUGGGUGAUGAUUGGAUGAAUCACAGAAUGGUCUGUUAUAUUGAGAGAGAUGUAUUUGUUAGUAUUGAAGAGUCAAAGAUCAUAGAGCGGUUUCAAGGAUAUUGCUCUCGUAAAGGCCUUUUACCUCGUCCUAGAAGGCUGGCUUCUUCUACUACCGAAGAUGAAGUCAUGGGAGGCUCGACAAGCUGAUCAUCCAUUUGGUACCAUAUUUUGUAGUUUUGUUUCAUGUAUGCUACAUAUUGCCUUUUAUUAUAUCUGAAGUUGUGAGUUGAAUUGUUGAAA